AUCAUUAUAUUUUAGGGAGGCUUAGCAGUGCAGACGUCAAACGCAUUCAGUCCAUCACCGUCGACCGAGCAAACAUCGUGUUGUACAUUUGUAGACGACCAAGCGUGUCCGCAACUAUAUUACUGCACGAUGAAAAGGAAACGGAGAUCACCGAAGAUGAUAAAGAAAUCGGCCGAUUUUCGUCAUUGUUGGAGUAACAUUCAUUAUGCACGUUUUGAUACUACAUCUACUUAAUUCACAAAUUACAAUUUAGAUUACAGAUGGAAGUUCCGAUAACAAUUUAAUACUAAAGAUGGCUUUAAGAAAAAUAAAUAUGAACAAUAUCAUGCGAUGUUAUGCGAAACAAAUUAUGUUAUCUUCAACUCUGUUGAUGAUUACGGAACUUUUGCAAUGCACUAUAUCUACACCUCAGCAGAUGGCGGAUGAUCGGGAACCAUUAUUGUUGUAACGCCAAGUAUACUUCAACCGUAUACCUAGUCGUAAAGACGUCGACUAGAGAGACGACAACAACUACAUUACCCCUGUUCGUCACUAUUUGAUAUGAUGAUGACUUGCGCCACUAUUUGUCGUCACUACAUCUGAUAAUGAUUUAUUGAGAGUAUCUCAUUGAUGAAACCGACGCUCUAACCGCUGACAUUGCAGGAUGACGCGUACUAGAAUAUACAUCACAUCAGUUUAUAAUGGUAUCAUAUUUUAAUGCUGUUACUUCAACACAUUGCUACAAACGUUAAGUGCCAUCUGUGGUAAAAAGCUUCCAAUCGUUUGUGUCGGAUGAAGACGAGCAAUCAUUGUUGACUGCCUCAGGUUUAGCAGGCCUGUUGUUUUCAAUCGAUUCAAAGAAUGCUGAUACGAAAUACUGGACAGUUGUCACAGCAAAAAUUAAAGUAGCUUUGGCAUUCGAUGGACACUUGUCUAUACACACGAAACAUGAUGUUGAGUUAUGUACAAGUUCCAUUGUUCUAUAAAUCGUAGUUCGAUCGCCUCAAGUAUAGUUCCAUAUCAUCGUUCCUUAAAAGUAUGACGACAGAUAUUGUCGAUUAUCCAGGACGAUUUUGUUAAAGAUACAUCAUGAUUUGGAACAUCGGGAAGGAGCCUGAAAUUAAUUGUAAAAUCAAGUAAGGCGAUCGAAUGGCAAAGAAACUUUUAAUGGCUGCUGUGACAGCUGUCCAGAAAUUCUUGUCCGUAAUUUUUUGAAUUGAAUGAAUAUACCAGGCCUGAAAAAGCUGGGGCAGAGAGUGGUGUUUUCCAUCGUCCAGUACGAUCAACCGAGAAGGUACAUGUUGCAUAUUAUGUAUCGUUUAAAGUAGUGAUGGUUCGGAGUUUCAGCGACUGAAUGUGAAGGUAAUACAGACUGGUGUGUAGUAGCCCGAUAGUACAACCUCGCGAUUGGCAUCGUCAGCCGCCAUAUAACGUCAUCAAUAUUGUAUAAAAUUAUCGAUCACUAUCGGAACUUAGAUUUGUAAUUUAAAAUGUAAAAUAAAGUAAACUAUUAAAAAUUAUUUUAUUGUAA